GUCACACAUGGACAGCCUCAUCUAUUUUAUUGACCCAUUUCCAGAUGCUGCGAUUACUGAGUUACAUUAAUACACAGCUUUUUAUGGUAUACAGUAAUGUAAUAUAUUAGCCUAAUGUGUUAGGACUCCUUAAACAAGGGAUACUGUAAUCAUUAAUACAGUUGAUCCAUUAGGCUUGGCACAGUGUUUAUUUUAUGGAAACACUCUAAAAGAAAAACAGACCUGAAGUUCAUCAUGUGUAAGGUUACACAAAUCUAUCUUUCAAAUGAGUUCAUUACUCUAAAUAAUUGUCAGAAGUUACAUUUUUGUUUAAUAUAAUCUUUGCAGUAACCUUCCAAAUUAGGGCAAUUUUUCUGUCCAGAUCUGCCUACUGAACUAGAAUAUUUAAUGAGCAACAACUUCUGUUGUGAAUUAAUGGACUGAUAUUGGGGUUUGAUAAAUCAGUUUCCUAAGGUUUGGAUAAGCCAAGAGUUAGACUCUAAGAAUAUAAAAAGGCCUAGAUAACAUCAUAAAAGUAAAGUUCUAGAUCCACAAAGCAGAGAACUAGACCCAGAUUAUAAGUCACUCCACAGAGGUCCCAUUUUUCUGGAUUUGAGGGGAGAAGUGUUUGAUGACAGUAUUUGAAGUGAUUUUAUAUCCAUUUUCUUUUAAAAAGUAAUAGUUUGGAAUUAGUUACUUGUUAAUUAAUCUGUAAAAUAUUUGCUGUGGUGUUAUAAUGUGAAAAUGUGGUUGCUAAUUUUAAAAUAAAUUUUGGGUUUUUUAAAAUAAAUUUUUAAAAACACUUUUUAUGUAUAUCACAGCCUCAACAAGAACUUGAUUUAAACUCUCCACGAAAUACCACUUUGGAAAGACAGACUUUCUAUUGUGUUCCGGUGCCUGGGGAAUCUACGUGGGUAAAAGAAGCCUAUGUUAAUGCAAACCAAGCUCGAGUCAGUCCCUCAACAUCCUACACUCCUAGUCGCCACAAGAGGAGUUAUGAAGAUGAUGAUGAUAUGGACCUACAGCCCAAUAAGCAGAAAGACCAACAUGCAGGUGCCAGACAAGCAGGGAGUGUUGGUGGUCUUCAAUGGUGUGGAGAGCCAAAACGUUUAGAAACUGAAGCUUCUACUGGGCAACAGCUGAACUCUCUGAACUUGUCUUCUCCUUUUGAUUUGAAUUUUCCAUUGCCAGGAGAGAAGGGCCCUGCAUGCCUUGUGAAGGUUUAUGAAGAUUGGGAUUGUUUCAAAGUAAAUGACAUUCUUGAGCUAUAUGGCAUACUGUCUGUGGAUCCUGUGCUGAGUAUACUGAAUAAUGAUGAAAGGGAUGCCUCUGCACUGCUGGAUCCGAUGGAGUGCACAGACACAGCAGAGGAGCAGAGAGUACACAGUCCUCCUGCUUCAUUAGUGCCAAGAAUUCAUGUGAUCUUAGCCCAGAAGUUGCAACACAUCAACCCAUUAUUGCCUGCCUGCCUUAACAAAGAGGAGAGCAAAACCUGUAAGUGUAAGUGUUACAGCCUAGUCAACUAUCGACUGUUAGCCUCAGUGUGUCCAGAGCUGCCUGUAACGUGCUCAUAGUGGAAUUGAGAGUCAGGUCUUCAUUCCUCACAAUAAGUGUUUUCAGUAAUCUCUCUCUCGUUGCCCCAUUUUUCUCUUACAUUAAUUCUCUUCACUGAAAUGAGGACAAAAGAGUAUACAAGGCUGGGUGCAGUGGCUCACGCCUGUAAUCUUAGCACUUUAGGAGGCCGAGGUGGGUGGAUCACCUGAGGUCAGGAGUUCGAGACUAGCCUGGCCAAUAUAGUGAAACCCUGGCUCUACUAAAAAUACAAAAUUAGCCAGGUGUGGUGGCGUGUGCCUGUAAUCCCAGCUACUCGGGAGGCUGAGGCAGGAGAAUCACUUGAACUGGAGGCAGAGGUUGCGGUGAGCUGAGAUGGCGCCAUUGCACUCCAGGCUAGGCAAAAAGAGCAAAACUUGGUCUC
rnacentral:sRNA from 1 species